AUUCUUUUCCAGUUCAUAAGUGUGAUGAUUGGGUUCUCACGAGUUUGCUUGACAUGUGCCUCCCUCUAAACCUUCUUAUGAUGUGGUACAUUACCUGUCUGAUG